rnacentral:rRNA from 1 species
GACAGAGGGUGCAAACGUUGUUCGGAAUUACUGGGCGUAAAGCGUGUGUAGGCGGCUACGUAAGUCGGAUGUGAAAGCCCCCAGGCUCAACCUGGGAAGUGCACUCGAUACUGCGUAGCUUGAGUAUCGGAGAGGUUGGUGGAAUUCUCGGUGUAGAGGUGAAAUUCGUAGAUAUCGAGAGGAACACCGGUGGCGAAGGCGGCCAACUGGACGAAUACUGACGCUGAGACGACGAAGCGUGGGGGAGCAAACAGG